rnacentral:tRNA from 1 species
GCCCCAUUGGCUCAGUUGGUCAGAGCAUCGUGCUUAUGACGCGAAGGUCGCGGGUUCGAGCCCCGCAUGGGGCA